rnacentral:rRNA from 1 species
GACGAACGCUGGCGGCGUGCUUAACACAUGCAAGUCGAACGGAAAGGCCCUGCUUUUGUGGGGUGCUCGAGUGGCGAACGGGUGAGUAACACGUGAGUAACCUGCCCUUGACUUUGGGAUAACUUCACGUAACGGGGGCUAAUCCCGGAUAGCAGCUCCUGCUCCAGGGUGGGGGUUGGAACGUCUCGGCGGUUGGGGUUGGACUCGCGGCUUAUCAGCUUGUUGGUGGGGUAGUGGCUUACCAAGGCUUUGACGGGUAGCCGGCCUGGGAGGGUGGCCGGCCACAUUGCUCCUGAGGGAGGGAGCAGACGCCUACGGGGGGCAGCGGGGGGAAAUAUUGCACAAUGGGCGGGAGCGUGAUGCAGAAACGUUGCGGGCGGGAUGACGUCCUGCUGGUAGUAAACCGCUUUCGCCUGUGACGAAGCGUGAGUGACGGUAAUGGGUAAAGAAGCACCGGCUAACUACGUG